rnacentral:lncRNA from 1 species
UAAACCUCGGAUCCCGAUCGACACAAUACUAGAAGGAAUACCAUGCAAUCUAACAAUCUGCUCAAUGUAGAUCUCAGCCAACCUCGCUACAGACAUACCAGUCUUAAUAGGAACAAAAUGUGCCGACUUCGUCAACCGAUCAACAAUCACCCAAAUCGAAUCAAAACUCUUACUAGUCUUAGGCAACGCUCCAACAAAAUCCAUAGAAAUGCUAUCCCA